rnacentral:rRNA from 1 species
UCGGGUUGUAAAGCACUUUUGUCCGGAAAGAAAUCCUGAGGGCUAAUAUCCUUCGGGGAUGACGGUACCGGAAGAAUAAGCACCGGCUAACUACGUGCCAGCAGCGCGGUAAUCGUAGGGUGCGAGCGUUAAUCGGAAUUACUGGGCGUAAAGCGUGCGCAGGCGGUUCGCUAAGACCGAUGUGAAAUCCCCGGGCUUAACCUGGGAACUGCAUUGGUGACUGGCGGGCUAGAGUAUGGCAGAGGGGGGUAGAAUUCCACGUGUAGCAGUGAAAUGCGUAGAGAUGUGGAGGAAUACCGAUGGCGAAGGCAGCCCCCUGGGCCAAUACUGACGCUCAUGCACGAAAGCGUGGGGAGCAAACAGGAUUAGAUACCCUGGUAGUCCACGCCCUAAACGAUGUCAACUAGUUGUUGGGGAUUCAUUUCCUUAGUAACGUAGCUAACGCGUGAAGUUGACCGCCUGGGGAGUACGGUCGCAAGAUUAAAACUCAAAGGAAUUGACGGGGACCCGCACAAGCGGUGGAUGAAGGUGGAUUAAUUCGAUGCAACGCGAAAAACCUUACCUACCCUUGACAUGGUCGGAAUCCUGCUG